GACGAACGCUGGCGGCGUGCCUAACACAUGCAAGUCGAGCGAGAGGCUUCGGGCUCUAGCGGCGGACGGGUGAGUAACACGUGGGUAACCUGCCGCAUAGAGGGGGAUAGCCUUCCGAAAGGAAGAUUAAUACCGCAUAACAUCAGAUUGUCGCAUGGCAGUUUGAUCAAAGGAGUAAUCCGCUAUGAGAAGGACCCGCGGCGCAUUAGCUAGUUGGUGAGGUAACGGCUCACCAAGGCCACGAUGCGUAGCCGACCUGAGAGGGUGAUCGGCCACAUUGGAGCUGAGAGACGGUCCAGACUCCUACGGGGGGCAGCAGUGGGGAAUAUUGCACAAUGGGCGAAAGCCUGAUGCAGCAACGCCGCGUGAGUGAUGAAGGCCUUCGGGUUGUAAAGCUCUGUCUUUGGGGACGAUAAUGACGGUACCCAAGGAGGAAGCCACGGCUAACUACGUGCCAGCCGCCGCGGUAAUAC
rnacentral:rRNA from 1 species